rnacentral:ncRNA from 1 species
AAUUAAAGUUUAUGUAUAACAUUACAAAUUGUAUCAAAUUUCAUGUAUAAUUUUAGUAUUUAUCCUAAAGAAAAAAACUCAAAUAUUAUGAUCAACCUCUAAAUUUAUUAAUUUUUUAUAAUUAUAAACUCGUAAUUUGACUAGGAUGAAGCUUGGGUGAAAGUAAGUGGAGGUCUGAACCAACUGAUGUUGAAGAAUCAGCGGAUGAGUUGUGGUUAGGGGUGAAAUGCCACUUGAACCCAGAGCUAGCUAGUUCUCCCCAAAAUGCCUUGAGGCACAGCAGUUGAGUGGACAUCUAGGGGUAAAACGCUAUUUCGGUGCAGGUCGUGAGAGUAGUACCAAAUCGAGGAAACUCUGAAUACUAAAUAUGACCUCAAAAUAAUAGGGGUUGAGGUCGGCUAGUGAGACGAUGGGGGAUAAGCUUCAUCGUCGAGAGGGAAACAUCCCGGAUCACCAGCUAAAGUCCCUAAAUGACCGCUCAGUGAUAAAAAAGGUUGGGGUGUAGAGAUAGCCAGGAGGUUUGCCUAGAAGUAGCCACCCUUGAAAGAGUGUAUAAUAGUUCAUUGAUCAAGUGCUCUUGCGCCAAAGAUGAACGAGGCUAAGUGAUCUGCCGAAGCUGUGGGAUGUAAAAGUACAUCGAUAGGGGAGAGUUCUGCCUUAGGGGGAAGCACUCUCAUGAACGGGAGUAGAUGAAGCGAAAGUGAGAAUGUCGGCUUGAGUAACGCAAACAUUGGUGAGAAUCUAAUGCCCGGAAAACCCAAAGGUUCCUCCGCAAGGUCGUCCACAGGGGAUGAAUCAGGGCCUAAGAUCAGGCCGAAAGGCGUAGUCGAUAGACAACAGAUGAAUAUUCCUGUACUACCCCUUGUUGGUCCCGGGGGACAGAGGAGGCUAAGUUAGCCGAAAGAUGGUUAUCAGUUCAUGGACACAAGGUGCCCCUACUUUUUCAGGGUAAGAAGGGGUAAAGAAAAUGCCCUGAGCCAAUGUUCAAGUACCAGGCGCUACGGCGCUGAAGUAACCUAUACUAUACUCCUAGAAAAAACUUGAACGACCUUCAACAAAAGGGUACCUGUACUCGAAACUGACACAAGUGGGUAGGUAGAGAAUACCUAGGGCGAGAGACAACUCUCUCUAAGGAACUCGAUAAAAUAGCUCUGUAACUUUGGGAGAAGGGGUGCCUCAUCACAAAGGAGGUCGUAGUGACCAGGCCUAAGCGACUGUUUACCAAAAACACAAGUAUCCACAAAGUCAUAAGACCAUGUAUGGGGCUUGAUGCCUACCCAGUGCCGAAAGGUUAAGGAAAUUGGUGACCUGAUGACAGGGGAGCCGGCGACUGAAGCCCCAGUAAACGGCGGUCGUAACUAUAACGGUCCUAAGAUAGAAAAAUUCCUUGUCGAGUAAGUUUCGACCCCCAAAAAAGGCGUAACGAUCUGGGCACUGUCAUGGAGAGAGACUUAGUGAAAUA